CAGUAGCCGCGGUAAUACGGAGGGAGCUAGCGUUGUUCGGAAUUACUGGGCGUAAAGCGCACGUAGGCGGUUAUUCAAGUCAGAGGUGAAAGCCCGGGGCUCAACCCCGGAACUGCCUUUGAAACUAGAUGACUGGAAUCUUGGAGAGGUCAGUGGAAUUCCGAGUGUAGAGGUGAAAUCCGUAGAUAUUCGGAAGAACACCAGUGGCGAAGGCGGCUCACUGGCUCAUUCUAGACGCUGAGGUGCGUAAGCGUGGGGAGCAAACAGGAUUAGAUACCCGCGUAGUCCCUGUCUCUUAUAC
rnacentral:rRNA from 1 species